rnacentral:sRNA from 1 species
GCUGGGUGCGGUGGCGCACCCCUGUAAUCCAAGUGGCUCAGGAGGCUGAGGCAGGAGGAUUGAGAGUUCAAAGCCAGACUCAGCAAAAAGCGAGGCGCUAAGCCACUCAGUGAGACUUUGUCUCUA